rnacentral:misc_RNA from 1 species
GGAAGAGAAGUCAUCAUCAGUGGCUAUUACAGUUCAAAUGGAAAUGGCAAAAACCUUGGAAACUCUCUGAGUGGAUUAGACACAGUGAUGAAACAAUCAUGAGGUCACGACCUCGUACCCAGGCUCUGCCAGAUAUUAUGUGCAGAAAUGGUCGCUAGCUUAUUUGUGCCAACUGUAUAUUCUAUUCUGAUCUCUUUUGAGCCCCCUUUCACAUGGUACAGGAAGAAACUGGAAAUAAGUGCUGGUAUUGUGUAUGCAGGUUGCAGUUGAAGUGGUGGAGCCGUGAAGGGGAUUUUGGUUUUAGGUGUUCUUACAGGAGUGGGUUUUAGUUGGGAAUUGUUAGAUUUUUGAAUUUUUCCAAACCGUGAUUAUUCAUCAACAGCAUCUUGUGAAUAUGUUGAAGCUACAUAGGAUUGCCUGAGUAAUUGCAGAAGAAUACUUAGAAGGUGGAUGAUGAAUGGUAGAUUGAUUAUAGGACAAGGUCAAGAUUUGUGUAUACAUUUUGGCAAAUAACAUUGAAGGAAUUCUUCCGUCUGGUCACAUAAGCAAUGUCAAAAGAUCCUUUGCCUUGAUUUUUUUUGUGUCAUUCUUGAUAAAUGUGUAAUGUACAUUUGUGUGUAAACAUAACAUUGAUUUGUUUAAAGUAA